UCAGAGUGUCGAGAACACGGGGGAGGGCUACCAUAUGUGCUCUGCUGCCGUGGAACUCUUACGCUGUCGCCGUACGCGAAAACCACAGUGAAUAGCAGGAACACGGAUGUGCUGCUAUGAGGACAGAGAAGGCAAACUUCCUUCCGAGUUGACAGGAAUGGGCUCUGCAUACAAGAUGUCUGCCAAAAGAAAAAAGCCUUUCCUCAGCAACAAAGUUAACCUCUGCCCUGUAAAGGAGCAGGUGACAGCAGUGCAAUAUAAGCCAUGCAUACCCUGAUGCAUGAUGGCUGAAAAAGAGCGAGAUAUUGAAUAACAUGCAUAGCUAUUUUUUCUUAACCCAUAAUCUGUGAUAGUUAAUUAUCUCAAAAUUUAAUGAGAGCGCCAAUAUUUUACUUAGGUGAGAAAGGAGCCUUAUCUGAGCCAGAUGUAGUUUCCAAUGCAGGACUCAGCUCAGAAAAAUGCGAACUAAAGUGUAAAUGCAGAGUAUGCGUGCUAGCUGCCCUGUUAAUGGGUAACUUGAGACCCAAUAUAUGAAAUUAGGCUACUUCUCUUUUACAUCCUUAAAAUUGUAUUACUAUAUACACUUUUUGAGGAAAAGCUGCCAUUAGAGCUUGCAUCUGACUUUAUCAACUGAAUUUGCACAUAUUUAUCUGAAAAUAAAAUUCACUGAAACUCAUUUCCUGGGUCCCACCAGAUGGAACUCUCUAGUGGAUGGGACCCAUAACGUGCCCCUCCUGCCGGACCUGAUAGACGGGUAGAUGUAACUGGGGAGAAGAGGUCCCUCAAAUAACUAGUCCCAUGCCAUGUAGGGUUUUAAAGGUCAAAUCCAGCACCUUGAAUUGAACUUGGAAGCAAACUGGCAACCAAUGCAGCUUAUGGAGCAGGCUUAACAUGUGCCAUUCUAGGGGCAAACAGCAGCCCACGCUGCUGCAUUUUGCACCAGUUGAAGCUUCUGGGUACUCUUCAAGGGAAGCCCCAUGUAGAGUGCAUUACAGUAGUCCAUUCAAGAGAUCACUAGUGCAUGAGUAACUGGGAGUAAAACCUUCUGAUCCAGGAAGGGGCACAAUUGGCGCACAACACAAAGCUGUACAAAGGCCCUCCUAGCCACAACUGCCAGAGCAGUUGUUGAGUCCAGAAGGACCUCCAUAUUGCACACCAGGUCUGUUUAGAGCAGUGCGACUCCAUCUAGCUCCAAAGAUGGUAAGGCCCCAGAUCCAAAAGGCCCUAAAACCCAAAGCCACUCAGUCUUGUCAGGGUUCAGCUGAACCCUGUUGUUCCCUAUCCAGACUCCCACAGCCUCCAGGCACAGGGACAGGACAUCAACAGCAUUGUGUAGUUUGCCAGGGGCAUGCUAUAUAAUUGAGUAUCAUCAGCAUACUGAUAAUACCUCACCCUAUGGUGAUGGAUUAUCUUAUGUAAAUGUUAAAACAGUGGAGAGAGUACUGAACCCUGCAGAACCCCACAUAGUAGGGGGAGAGAGUAGGACCUCUCACUCUCAAUCAACACCCACUGGUAUCAGUCCCACAGAAAGGAAGAGAACAGAACAAUACAGUGCUGCCCACUCCCACCCCACAGAGCCAAUCCAGAAGGAUACUAUGGCCUAUGGUAUCAAAAGCCACUGAGAGAUCAAGAACAGCCAGGAUGGUUGCACUACCCCCUUCCUGCUCCUGCCAGAGACCAUCUAAAAGUGUGAUCAAUGACAUUUCCAUCCCAUGCCCAGGCCUGAAUGCUGACUGAAAGGUGUCCAGAUAAUCCACUUCAUCCAGGAUCCACUGAAGCUGUUGCUUAAGAGGUGGAGGAACAAUUCCCUCUCAAGGAAGAAUUCACCACUGCUAGAACCUAACCACACAUCACCCCCAGUGCAGCCUUAGCAGCCAGGUGGGGCAUGGAUCUAAUGAGCAGGUGGCCAAGCUCACAGUCAUGAGGACCCUGUUCAAACCACUCCCUGAUAACAGGGAAAGACUGUGCCCCAGACAUCUCUGCAGGACCUGCUUCAAGGCUGGCAUCAAUGAAUUUAAGUGAUUUUGUCCGACAGAUGCUCUGCAAAUUCCUCUGCAUGGCCUUGUAUGUGAACUCCUGAGUCCUCUUUAUCCGAAAGGGCUCAGGUCACCCUAAACAAGGCUGCCAGGUGGCUAUCUGCAGACACAAUAAGGGUGGAGAGGUAUUGCCAUAGUUGUACAUUUUUUGAAAGUAUAUGUUGGAUAUGCUCUCAAAUUAGUUGCAUGAGACAUGUUGGGAUUUAAUUAAAAAAAUAUCAAAUACAA